GCUUUCGACCUCCGAGGCUGCGACCGCGUGUCCUGUAGCAGCAGCCACUGCAGAUGGGGCGUUGCAGCUCUCGAGCUGCUGCGGCUGCAGCUGGACUUGGCAGGGGUGAGAUAAUUGGCCGUUUUGUUGCACAAGCGCCUUCCUUUCUUCCAUCUUCCUGUUCUUGACAAAGGUCUGGAUUCCCCAAGACAUUAAAAAUGCAACCCUUACAAUUUUCCUGUUUCGGCUACAAAUUAGAAAUAUCCCGAUCCCCAUUAAAAAAGGAUUCGUUCCCAGAGAAAGUGGCUUAAUUCAAGUUUACACACAGGCACCCGAAAGCCAGCAAUCCCCUUAUGGAAAGGUAGAUUCAGGAGAUCUGGGCAGGUCCGCGUGGCAGCGUCAGGUAAGCUUUUCUUUAAAACGGGGAAAUGACAUUAAGUACGAUUUGAACAAACACAGCUGUGACUACCCGAUCCCCGGAAGCAUAUUUCUUAAACAUUUCUUUACUACUUUUCCACAUUAAUGUCUAAGUACACCCUGCCCCGAACACACACACCUUUGUACUCUGUAAAGCGUGUAUGCAUGCUUUUUUGUGUGUGUGAUGGUUUUGUUUUGUUUUUUCCUGAUAUAUUUGUGAAGAUCUCAUGUUUUUCUCUGCACAAUAAACACCCUUCUGAAAUGAGAGCAUUUGCCACAGAUGCCAUGUAUUCAGGGUCACAGCUAACAUUUUUUUCCUUUAAAUAGGCUCCCUUAUUUCCUGGCCCUCAAUCCAAUUCCUAGUGAGGUGGCUGUCCUACCGGACUUAAAGAAUGAAACUGCCACCUGGGCUCUGAAAAGAUGCCAGUUCCAGUAGUUCCUCAAGGGUUCAAAGAACUUCAGUGACUGCCACAGGCAAAGUGGAUUCAAAUGCUAAACGGAACCAAGCAGACCGAAGACUACAGAAAGGAAGAAACGCCUUACUAUGCUCCAGUGCAGCGGCGGACCGCCCGGUGUUAUUUCUGGAAUCCCCAAGGCCAGGCUGCAAGACACACGAGCGUUUAUGUUCCUGUGGGUUGGGGUGGAGCUGGACACACAGAAAUCCCAACGGAAAGAAUUUACAUGUGGACGGUCAGAUAAAAUGCCUUCUGUAUAAGCAGUGAAUUUCAAGAUUCCCUAAAUUAGAGCAGCAAGCCCAGCCCAUAAAGAGGAGACGCCCAUGGAGGUGAUGAGAGAGAAGGAGACAUAUGAAGGGAAAUUGUCAAAAGGGUUGUUUCUGAGAGUGGCCUACCCAAAAGAGGCACGUGCCAAAUAUUUACCACAAACAAGCUUAUAUGAUCAUGUGAAAUCAAAAACUAACACAUUAUGAAAUUGUAAUAUCUGAGGGACUCCAUAGAAUCUGCCUGUGUCUGAAAAAAAAAUUCUUGGCACUUCAAGUCCCAGAACACAGAAAAGCUGACAUCUAGAGUGGCUUUAUUUGUUAUUAUUUUAUUUAUUUAUUGAGGCUCACACUGCAUUUAAAUCCUGCAAGGAUUAAUUCAUUCAAUAUACUUGAUGUCACUAAAAGGGAAACGCUGUUGUAAACACCAUCUCAAAUU
ensembl:lincRNA